ensembl:rRNA 5S_rRNA 5S ribosomal RNA
GUCUACGGCCAUACCACCCUGAGCUCGCCCUAUCUCGUCUGAUCUUGGAAGCUAAGCAGGGAUCGGGCCUGGUUAGUUCUUGGAUGGGAGACCCAAAUAAACUAUGAGCAUUAUAAACU